CACCUGUAGGAGACGAACAGGUGUUGUUGAACCUGCCCUAGCUCUUCGUUGUCUCUCAAAACUUUGUGAUUGUCUAAGUUAUUUCACCUUCGGAGGUGCCUAGUGGUUAAGGGGAUCUCAGUCAGCACCGAUACUCAGGCUGGUUGGAAGCCGGCUCCACAGGAAGAGCUUUUAAAGUAUGUAAAUACAUACAAUGUUGAGGGACCCUGGAGCACGAGCCCCACUAGCCCAACAGACCCGGACGGCCUACAGGUGGCCCCUGGGGGCAGUGAAAAACCCAGAGGCCCAGCCAGAAACUCGGGCCUGAUGUUAACACCCCAGAGAGAACCCGAGCCCAGAAUAACCCCCUCGCCCUUAAGUAACCCCUGGUCCACAGGAAAACCCAGAUCCAUACCUAAACCUGGGGGCUGUGGUAACCUGCCCCGCCUCCAACCUCCCCCUCACGCAGAAACCUGGGUAAACCCCUCAGCCGUAAAUCAGGGGCCCAGACGUAAACCCCCCCAGUCGUAAACCUGGCCGAGUCGUAAACGCUCCAGUCAUAACCCCCUCGCGCCAAGACGUAAACCCUUCAGAUUUAAACCGGGGGUCCAGUCGUGAAUCCUCACCCGGUGGUAAACUCUCCAGUCGUUAGUGCCCAAGACGUAAACCCGGGUCGGAGAUGUAACCCGGAACCCCCCACGCUGCGCUCUGGAGCAUAGACGGCCAGCACCCAGCGCCCCGCGUGCCUCAGACGCCUGGCUUCAGGUGACUGCGCUAACCGGGAAGCCGCUGACAGGAGGCCGCCUCUCAGGCAUCUCCGGGCCCGAAGAGAGGAGCCCCCACAGGACGCCAGGCCCUCAGGCGACUCCGUGACAGGACGGCCGCCCGAGUGGAGAAAUGCCCCAGCAGAAACUGUCAUCUGGUUAGACUGUGAGAACUUGAACCACUGAGGUGGCACCACGCGUUGAUGAGCUUCCAGCAGGCCAAGAAGCUCCAGAAGGGCUAGUGCAGCUUCUGGCAGCAGCAGACAUCAAUGGACCCGUGAGACUGAGGCCCUGCUGCGAUGCCGGAGGCUCAGGAGGCAGCCCUGGAGGAGUCGCGCUGUGGGCUUCACCUUUACCAGCAUGUGAUUCUUCAUCACUAAGGUUAAGAAGUUAAAAGUUAAAGAAUACUACUGACAUGAUACAGGAGCCUGUCCCCAGAUGCUUGUAAACAGUUGUGCCUGCAAGUAAGCCAAGAAGCCUUCUCAAAAACAUCGCACAUGGCGAAGCAACUGGCCCCGCCUCCAUCAGCAGAUGCCAACAGCGUUUCAUUUCCUGUUCGUGAGAUCCUUUGGUCAUCAGUGAAAUCUGUGUGAGAUGUAACUACAAACGACAGUGACAAGGAAUUAUCUGAUUUACAUGAUAAGUCACAUGCCAGGAAGUUCUGUUGAUCAGCUCCGCUCUGUAUUUCUCCAUUGUGCUUAAUAAACAGAAAGUGGAGAAGGGAACGAGGAAAAAUCAGAAGCAGCUGCAGUACAAGCAGGAGUGAAGGAGAGCUGAUUUUCCCCCAGCCAGCAGGGAUGUCCCUGCUCAUGUAUUCACAGAAGCUGCUUUGCAGAGCCAGACCACUUUAAUCUACUCAUUCAACCAACACAUUUGCCUACGACACGACAGGCACUGGAAACAAGAUGCAGUAUACGAAUUUGACACAUUCGUCAUCAGAACAUCCCCCAAGGUCCCGGGGCUCCGGACAUAAGAUGUUCCCAACGACCGUGAGAGAGACACCUGCAUCGGUGGCCUGGGUCAGCCCAUCUCAGGCUGCGGCCUCACCGUCCACGUGACCUGCUGGAGGCCCCCAGAUCUCUGGGCUGCCAUAAUGAAAUGACCUGCACGAGCGCCGAGCACACACUGGGAGCUCGGCUCUGAUGGAACCAAAAGCAGAGAGGAGGCCUGGGAUCACCAGGGUAAGGUGUGUGCAGGAGGCGGGCCCAUUCUCUGCAAGCAGCUCUGCCUGCAGGCACUGAAGCCAGCAGUUUAUCUGAAAUGCGAAGGAGAUGACAAAGUGCCCCACCCCCCUGAGAAAGUCCUGCCUUGGUGCCACCUGUUAACUGAUUUCCAGUGAGACAGGACUGCAGUCCGGGGCGGUCGGUCUUCCAGGGCCUGCUUGGUUGGCAUAAGGCUUACUCUGUUGUCUGUAGAACCAGCUCUGCAGUCACGGUGAACGUGGCAAACGGGAGCAUAGGUGAAGCGUUGAGGAUGGUGAGCCAGCGAUUGGUUUCUCUUCUCUCCGUCCCCUGGGAUGAUAUAGAGCAGAGAAGCCAAGGCCAAGGCCUCCACGGAUGUGGGUCGGCGAGGGGAGGGAGCCUGGGCUCCUCCUCCCACCUGCUCAAUCGCGAGCAUCAUGCAGGCAGCUGGGGAAGGAGCUGUGUGCUAGGGAAGGAGCAGGUGCAAUCUUUCCUGGCUGGGAACACAGCCGUUGUGCACGCUCUCAAUAAAGUAGGACUCCCAGAAUGUCCCCACGAUCCCAGGGCACCUCAUGCCACGAUGGAGAGCAAAUCCACACCAUGUCAGUUUUCUAGAUGACCUCCGUGGUGAAAAGUUUAGGGUGCAUCUCCUUUAACUACUGAAUCGGGGCAGAGAGCUCUCGGAAAUUACGCUGAAAGCAGAACUUGAGAAUCCAGGCAGAGCAGAAGGAAGGAGGCUUUAUUCUGACUGACGUCCAGAGCUUGGCGCCCUCUACCCAGCUCCUGUUUCUUCUCCCUACGGCCGCUGCUGUGUGAGGUAGAUGCUCGCAGCCGCAGCCAACCGUGCUGGUUUCUUUUCGGUUCCUUCCCUAGAGCCUCUCUAGUAGGAGAAGAGCACCCCGUCUGUGAGCCCUGCCUACCUGCGCACACGUCUCCCUGGCAGCCCCGAGUCCUGUGCAGUUGCUGAUUAUUUUAAUUGAAUGAUAAAGGAUGUGGGUGUGAAUUAAUUCUACAAGCAGGUAGGGCUAAGGGAUGGAUUAUAUGGAGAAGAGAGUCUUUUUAGUGCAAAUUCUAGUCCACUCAGGAUGCAUAACUCGUAGCAGGACCAGUAACCUCAGCAGGGCCGCUUCCUCCUGGAACCUGUGGUCUAUCAGGGACUCCCCUUGACGUCCACGGUAGGAUGGAGACCGUGGACCAGGGAACGAGCUCAGACCCAAAGCCGCGCGCUUGCUGGUUCUUAUCCAUGAAAUAAGCUGCUGCCUCACUUACCUCCAAAACAUCCUUUGAACUCUAAGAGGAGAGAUUUUACUUGUUCUCUCUGGGACUGCUGAGAGCACAAUGCGAGGAUAGGAAAAGUGCACUGGAACAGAAGGGGCAAACCCUCAAGCCCGGAGGUGGGAGAUGGGUCUGCUUCACUUACUGGCCCAGGAUCUUGGCCCCGUCCUUCCUCUGGGUACGCUGGGCUAGACGGGGAGUGAGAGGGCUGUGCGUGCAGAGGCCACGGAUGUUGCUGGAACGGCCUGCACGUGAGGGAGGGAUCCAUGCGGUGAACCAGGAUGGCUGGGCCAGGGAGGCGCCUCCCACCCGAAGGCUGCUUUACAGAUGGGCGCGAAAGUGGAGUCGUGAACUUAUUGUUAAUGUUGUUCUGGCAAACGCUGUGCUGCAGACGCUCCCACCCUCCCACUGCUCCUGCCAGAACGUGUAGUUUGAAAGGACACUUUCAGACCCCUCCUUCCACAGAAUUCACCUCUGGAGACUGAGCCCCAUCCCGAGAAGGCAUGGUCCAGUUAGCAACAGGGAAGCACGCUCACCUGUGUUUCAUUCAUAUGGAAAAUGCGGUGAAACAGAAAUUAAAGUUUUCUCUCACAUCUUCUGUCUCCCGACACCGGUAGACAAGGAGUAACCAUAGUAACAGAUGCCUGGAGAAUGGAGCAGUGGGAGGGGGGUGAGGAAGACCCGGAAAGUGACCGCCCCCCGGCCCUGGGGCCCCGUGUCCUCAGGGAAGUCUCACCUCCCUUCUCUCACCUGGAUUUUGGUGGAAGAUGUUUUUCUCUUUCUCCCAAAAUUACCAGGAAGAGAAAUAGACAGAAAAACCACCUUACAAAUAUAGACUAUACUGAAUACAGAGAGAAAAUGCAGAAGUGAAGCUAUUCCUUACACACACACAAAUUCCCUCAGACUGAGAGAAUCACCUCAGUUUUAAAGAUAGAGUGGAAGUUUGCUUAAAAAAAACCCAGCAUUGAUUGCAAGUGUUUCCAAUGACAUCAAAUAAAAAUCAGACCAUUGGGGUCAUUUCAGAAAUAGACCUCUCGCCGUGGUGCUGAGGACAAUGUCAGGUCGCUGAGAGCACCUCGGCCCGAGCCAUCCUGCCUCUCCCGGGCCAGGAGGAAAGGCUCUCCCUGGGGAGAGGCCUUGAGAAACCAUCCUUCCUAAGGGCCCCCCCCUUAUAAACAGGAUUUUUUUUUUUUAAUUACAAAAUAUCGGGAAGUACAAUCUACCAAGGAGGCAAGACGUUCCAGGUGGCAGGGAAUGGAUUUGCUCCUCAGAAUGAUGUGCCGGAAAGGACAUGAGGUGGGAGGCAGGACUGGCCUCGGGGAUGGUUUUCUGGGGCGCAGGACCAGGUUUCCCGCCACCCCCGAGGCCCUGCCCGGAACUCGGUUGAACUCGAGAAAGUGGAAAACACAGCGUCCCCAGCGAGGCUGCCAGCAGAAGCCAGCGCGCCCUGCGCUGCUUUCCUGAACGUUUGCCCAGGCUGCACUUCCAAGGGCAUUUUGGCCACAAGAACUGCGCUCAGCUUUGGCCUGUUCACCUCGAGUGGACAGAGGAAGCGUCUCAGCCCCAGAUUCUGAGGCCACAGGAGCUGCCAAGAAGGAGGGAGCGUCUGUUCCUGCCUGCAAGAUCAGGCCUUCUGAGUAAAUAUUUGUGUCCUUUGGUUAAUUGCAUAAAGUAUCUUAUCUUUAUCAUGGAGCGGGAGGCAUGCAUGUUUGUUGACUCCUGCUGUCAAUCCAUAGGCAACAGGAAAUGUUGCAAAAUCAUUUUAAAAACUCAGUGAGAAUAGAAUAGAGUGAAACUUUCUUCUAAGGAAUAAAUUGCUAAAUAACUUUUGACCCCUUUAAAAAAUAAUAGAAGAUAAUAAAAGAGGCAAAAGGGAUUGUUCUGUGUAACCAGCAGUGAGUAGGCAGGCAAUUUGAUGAUAAAAGUACAUGCUUGGAACAAUAAAGGAUACUGUUCUUUUAGCAUUUUUUUUUAAAAUUUUCUGGAUGUGAACAGCUAAGAGUUGACCAUUGCUUCUCCAUUCCAAAUCACAUCCCUUAAUAUGGGAAGAGGAUUUCAGACCUUCAUUAUCUACACGUAGCCUACUGAAAAUCAAAGUUUUGGGUUUUUGUUUCUGAAAAACAGAAGUACUCAUUUUAUCUGACUUGAUGAAAAGUGGCAUGAUUGAGCUCAGAGACCUUGAUUACAAUCCUAGCUGUGCAACCGUCAGCAUUUACCUGCCAGCUUUCUUUCACAUUCUGCUUCCUCACUGUAAAUGAAGAGGUAAAGGAACCAAAUUCUCUGUAGCACAAAAAAGUGAUGAGCCGGGUGCAUGGGUAGAUUAAUAAAUAAGAAAACAGUAGAUUAGAUAAAAAUGGUAGGUAGAAUGAUGAUAGAUUCAAUAGAUAGUUGAUAGGGAUAGAUGAUGGACCCAUGGAUAAUAGAUGAUAGAUUAGAUAUAGAGAGAGAUGAUAAAUAGAUGAUAGAUAAUAGGUGACAGACAGAUGAUAGACACAAUGUAACAGACAACAGAUGACAGAGAUAGAUACAUAAUAGACACAUAGAUGAGAGAUGAUAGAGAAAACAGAGAGAUCAUCAAUCAACAGAUAAUAGAUGAUUAGGUAGAUAGAUGAUAGAUAGAUUGAUAGAUAGACAGACAGGUGUGUUACUUGAGCAACAACAUUCAUUCCUGCUCCAUGGCGUGACCGUAGGUAUUCAUAAGGAAAGAUGUCAGCAACAAUUCAAAUAAGAAGUUUUAAGUCCUCAGUACUAAUCACAGAUGUUAAAGCUGUUAUCCCCAAACAGACCAAUAGUUCUCUUUAAAAUAACUUUUUAUUUUAUUUUAUUUUUUAUUGAAGUGUAGUUGAUUUACAAUGUUGUGUUAGUUUCAGGUGUACAGCAAAGUGGUUCAGUUAUACAAAUACAUAUAUAUUCUUUUCCAUUAUAGGUUAUUACAAGAUAUUGAAUAUAGUUCCCUGUGCUAUACAGUAAAUCCUUGUUGUUUACCUAUUUUAUAUAUAGUAGUGUGUAUAUGUUAAUCCCAAACUCCUGCUUUAUCCCUCCCCCACCCCCUUUCCCCUUUGGCAACCAUAAGUUUGUUUUCUGUCUGUGAGUCUGUUUCUGUUUUGUAAAUAAGUUCAUUUGUAUCAUCUUUUUAGAGUCCUUGUCACUUAUUUAUAUAAAUGACUGACUUUACUUAGUAUGAUCAUUUCUAGGUCCAUCCAUGUUGCUGCAAAUGGCAUUAUUUCAUUCUUAUUUUAGGGCUGAGUAGUAUUCCAUUGUGUGUAUAUGUUUGUGUGUGCGUGUGUGUGUAUAUAUAUAUAUACCACAUCUUCUUUAUUCAUAUGUUGAUAGACACUUAGGUUGCUUCCACAUCUUGGCUAUUGUAAACAGUGCUGCUAUGAACACUGGGGCGCAUGUAUCUUUUCAAAUUAUGGUUUUCUCCAGAUAUAUGCCCAGGAGUGGGAUUGCUAGAUCAUAUGGCAACUCUAUUUUUAGUUUUUUAAGGAACCUCCACAGUGGUUACUGUUCUCCAUGGUGGCUGUAUCAAUUUACAUUCCCACCAACAGUGCAAGGGGGUUCCCUUUUCUCCACACCCUUUCCAGCAUUUGUUAUUUGUAGACUUUCUAAUGAUGGCCAUUCUACUAGUGUAACAUAACUUUCUUAAAAAAAGAAAACACUACAGAUAUUUUUAACCAAGUUGUCAUUGAUGGCUGAAGAUUUUUUUUGUCAGAAAGAUCACUGCACGUGAAGGCAUCUCACAUCACGCUCACUGUUUUAGAUAUGCUAUUUUUAAUGAAGGGCUUAUGAACAUUCUUACGGACUGGGAAUUUUUCCUUCUGUCAUGUGUACCUUCUGGUUGAGUCUCUCCUGAUCCACCAGCUGAAAUUCCCACAUGGGGCGUG